rnacentral:rRNA from 1 species
AUUAAUUCGAUGCAACGCGAAAACCUUACUACCCUUGACAUGUCCGGAAUCCCGAAGAGAUUUGGGAGUGCUCGCAAGAGAACCGGAACACAGGUGCUGCAUGGCUGUCGUCAGCUCGUGUCGUGAGAUGUUGGGUUAAGUCCCGCAACGAGCGCAACCCUUGUCAUUAGUUGCCAUCAUUUGGUUGGGCACUCUAAUGAGACUGCCGGUGACAAACCGGAGGAAGUGGGGAUGACGUCAAGUCCUCAUGGCCCUUAUGGGUAGGGCUUCACACGUCAUACAAUGGUCGGUACAGAGGGUUGCCAACCCGCGAGGGGGAGCUAAUCCCACAAAGCCGAUCGUAGUCCGGAUCGCAGUCUGCAACUCGACUGCGUGAAGUCGGAAUCGCUAGUAAUCGUGGAUCAGAAUGUCACGGUGAAUACGUUCCCGGGUCUU